rnacentral:rRNA from 1 species
GAUCAGGCUGUUGGUGAGGUAAUGGCCCACCAAACCUGUAACCGGUACGGGCUCUGAGAGGAGGAGCCCGGAGAUGGGCACUGAGACAAGGGCCCAGGCCCUAUGGGGCGCAGCAGGCGCGAAACCUCUGCAAUAGGCGAAAGCCUGACAGGGUUACUCUGAGUGACUUUCGCUAAGAAAGUCUUUUGGCACCUCUAAAAAGGGUGCAGAAUAAGGGGUGGGCAAGCCUGGUGUCAGCCGCCGCGGUAAUACCAGCACCCCGAGUGGUCGGGACGAUUAUUGGGCCUAAAGCAUCCGUAGCCGGUUCUGCAAGUCCCCCGUUAAAUCCAGCUGCUCAACAGAUGGGCCGCGGAGGAUACUACAGAGCUAGGAGGCAGGAGAGGCAAGCGGUACUCAAUGGGUAGGGGUAAAAUCCGUUGAUCCAUUGAAGACCACCAGUGGCGAAGGCGGCUUGCCAGAAUGCGCUCGACGGUGAGGGAUGAAAGCUGGGGGAGCAAACCGGAUUAGAUACCCGGGUAGUCCCAGCCGUAAACGAUGCAGACUCGGUGAU